rnacentral:rRNA from 1 species
UGCGUAGGCGGUUAGUUAAGUCUGUUGUGAAAUCCCCGGGCUCAACCUGGGAAUGGCAAUGGAAACUGGCUAGCUAGAGUACGGCAGAGGGGGAUGGAAUUCCGCGUGUAGCAGUGAAAUGCGUAGAUAUGCGGAGGAACACCGAUGGCGAAGGCAAUCCCCUGGGCCUGUACUGACGCUCAUGCACGAAAGCGUGGGAGCAAACA